UGGGGAAUUUUUCGCAAUGGGGGCAACCCUGACGAAGCAAUGCCGCGUGGAUGAAGAAGGCCUUCGGGUUGUAAAGUCCUUUCGUGGGGGACGAAAAGGUGGUUCCUAAUACGAGCUGCUGUUGACGUGAACCCAAGAAGAAGCACCGGCUAACUCCGUGCCAGCAGCCGCGGUAAUACGGGGGGUGCAAGCGUUAAUCGGAAUCACUGGGCGUAAAGGGUGCGUAGGCGGUACGUUAGGUCUGUCGUGAAAUCCCCGGGCUCAACCUGGGAAUGGCGGUAGAAACCGGCGAACUAGAGUAUGGGAGAGGGUGGUGGAAUUCCAGGUGUAGCGGUGAAAUGCGUAGAGAUCUGGAGGAACAUCAGUGGCGAAGGCGGCCACCUGGCCCAAUACUGACGCUGAGGCACGAAAGCGUGGGGAGCAAACAGG
rnacentral:rRNA from 1 species